rnacentral:rRNA from 1 species
AGGGCCGCUACCACGCGAGUGGAUGCCAAUCCCUAAAACCCUCUCAGUUCGGACUGGAGUCUGCAACCCGACUCCACGAAGCUGGAUUCGCUAGUAAUCGCGCAUCAGCCACGGCGCGGUGAAUACGUUCCCGGGCCUUGUACACACCGCCCGUCAAGCCAUGGGAGCCGGGGGUACCUGAAGUGCGUAACCGCGAGGAUCGCCCUAGGGUAAAACUGGUGACUGGGGCUAAGUCGUAACAAGGUAGC